GACGAACGCUGGCGGCGUGCUUAACACAUGCAAGUCGAACGGAAAGGCCCUGCUUUUGUGGGGUGCUCGAGUGGCGAACGGGUGAGUAACACGUGAGUAACCUGCCCUUGACUUUGGGAUAACUUCAGGAAACUGGGGCUAAUACCGGAUAGGAGCUCCUGCUGCAUGGUGGGGGUUGGAAAGUUUCGGCGGUAGGGGAUGGACUCGCGGCUUAUCAGCUUGUUGGUGGGGUAGUGGCUUACCAAGGCUUUGACGGGUAGCCGGCCUGAGAGGGUGACCGGCCACAUUGGGACUGAGAUACGGCCCAGACCCCUACGGGAGGCAGCAGUGGGGAAUAUUGCACAAUGGGCGGAAGCCUGAUGCAGCAACGCCGCGUGCGGGAUGACGGCCUUCGGGUUGUAAACCGCUUUCGCCUGUGACGAAGCGUGAGUGACGGUAAUGGGUAAAGAAGCACCGGCUAACUACGUG
rnacentral:rRNA from 1 species